GGAAUUCAUUUUCUAUGUUAAAAUAUUUUUAUUUUGUUAGUUUUUAUUCUAUUAGGAAAAUAACAUGUAUUUUUUUCGUGUUAUUAUUAUUCGUAGGAUUACGUAAUUUGAUAUUUUUUUUCUACUUAUUUUUUUAUGGGAGUGGGAAAAAGUAAUCAACACAAAUGCAAAAAAGGUCAUAUUAUUAUGAUGUUGUCACUUAUAUAGUCAAACUUCGAACAAAACUUCAAAAGGUCAAACUUCACUCUGACUUUUGAAUCCUUUCUAGCCACAUGCAAGAUAAAGAGUUAUGCUAUCCAUAACGUGGACAGUUUUGAAAAUGUUAUGUAACAUAUUCUCAGAAUCACGAAACAAAAUUGACCAAUCUUUUUAGUCGUUUUAGAGGACGGCUUCUCAAUUGAGAUGCAAGAACAACGUCCAAGCGAUUAGUUUUACGUAUACGAUAAGGUUUCGAAGCCAACUGCUCAGCUGUUUUGGCGCCAAACUCAACGCGGUCACUUGAGACGCUAUAGCCACUACUAGUGUUUACAAUAGUCGAGGUAUCAUUGGCGGUUUAUGUUACGGGUUGCUAGAUAAACAAGCUUUGUUAUUGUAAAUGAGUUUUAUGAUUGAUUCGUGCUGUGAUAUCGCCGCUCUUUCAGAUUUGUACGAGUGACUACUUUGCUAAACGCGCCAAAAUAAAAAUAUUGCAAUUGAA